rnacentral:rRNA from 1 species
GAUGAACGCUGGCGGCGUGCCUAAUACAUGCAAGUCGAGCGAACAGAUGAGGAGCUUGCUCCUCUGACGUUAGCGGCGGACGGGGGAGUAACACGUGGAUAACCUACCUAUAAGACUGGGAUAACUUCGGGAAACCGGAGCUAAUACCGGAUAAUAUAUUGAACCGCAUGGUUCAAUAGUGAAAGACGGUUUUGCUGUCACUUAUAGCUGGAUCCGCGCCGCAUUAGCUAGUUGGUAAGGUAACGGCUUACCAAGGCAACGAUGCGUAGCCGACCUGAGAGGGUGAUCGGCCACACUAGAACUGAGACACGGUCCAGACUCCUACGGGAGGCAGCAGUAGGGAAUCUUCCGCAAUGGGCGAAAGCCUGACGGAGCAACGCCGCGUGAGUGAUGAAGGUCUUCGGAUCGUAAAACUCUGUUAUUAGGGAAGAACAAAUGUGUAAGUAACUAUGCACGUCUUGACGGUACCUAAUCAGAAAGCCACGGCUAACUACGUG